rnacentral:tRNA from 1 species
GGCUAUUUAGUAUAAUUUUAGUACAUUUAAUUGCAGAUUAAAGGGUUUUUAUGGCUU